UACGGGGGGGCAAGCGUUGUUCGGAAUUACUGGGCGUAAAGGGCGCGUAGGCGGCCUGUUAAGUCGAACGUGAAAUCCCCGGGCUCAACCCGGGAACUGCGUCCGAUACUGGCAGGCUUGAAUCCGGGAGAGGGAUGCGGAAUUCCAGGUGUAGCGGUGAAAUGCGUAGAUAUCUGGAGGAACACCGGUGGCGAAGGCGGCAUCCUGGACCG
rnacentral:rRNA from 1 species